GAAAUGCGAUAAGUAAUGUGAAUUGCAGAAUUCCGUGAGUCAUCGAAUCUUUGAACGCACAUUGCGCCCUCUGGCAUUCCGGGGGGCAUGCCUGUCCGAGCGUCAUUACGCACCCUCAAGCCCGGCUUGUGUGAUGGGCCCCGGCGUCUCGUUCGCGAGACGGGCCCGAAAGGCAGCGGCGGCGUCGACCCGAUGAGCCCGAGCGUAUGGGGACUUCUGUCACACGUUCGCGGUGCGGACCGGCGCCUGCUUGACUUUUCUGAUUAUCCAGGUUGACCUCGGAUCAGGUAGGGAUACCCGCUGAACUUAAGC
rnacentral:misc_RNA from 1 species